rnacentral:lncRNA from 1 species
AUUAAAAGACCAAAUGCUUAAUUUAUGAAUAACACCGAAUUUUGAUGCUGACUUCUUUGAGGAUGAUUGUUUUUGUCAGUGGACAGUUGGAAUAGAGCAGAAUACCCGUUCAAGACUGUCAUCAAAAACACAUAAAUGUUUCAUUCUAAUUUUAACCCUCUAUUUCAUCUAACCCUCUAUUUAAAGAAUUUCUGGAAGGAAAGAAGAUGUUAAAUUUUAGUUGUUUUUAGCAAGUAUCAUCUGAGUGUAUCAUAACAGAAUACACCUUCUAUAUGAUUAUCUUAAAUGUUACAAAUAAUUUACAUUUCUCUUAUGUUUUAUCAUAAUGCUAAUUUUAUGUGGCUGUCAUGCCAUUGAUUCUGCUGCUUAGCUACAUGGUUUAUAUUUAUUGUGCCAAAAUAUGUCAAAACCAAGACCUCUUUGUGUUGUGUAUUUGAGAGGAUGUUCAUCCUAGUGGCUAAUGAUGGCAUUACUCUGUCAACAUAGUGAAAACUUACCCUAGUUUUUACCUAUUAAAUUGUUUUUUGUUAUUUUCUUGGUGAUAUCAGCUGCCAGACUUUCAAGGCAUUCUAUUCUUUGAGCAACUCUUUACCUUGGUAUGAAUAUGAAUUUACUUGCAGUCCAUAUACGCUACUUUUCUGUACUAGAAUUAUAAAUUGUUUACCAUAAACAUCCAAAAACCUUAAAAUUGACUCAUGUGAAAUCAGCAUUAUG